rnacentral:rRNA from 1 species
AGUGAACGCUGGCGAUAGGCCUAACACAUGCAAGUCGAACGGCAGCACAGUAAGAGCUUGCUCUUACGGGUGGCGAGUGGCGGGCGGGUGAGGAAUACAUCGGAAUCUACUUUUUCGUGGGGGAUAACGUAGGGAAACUUACGCUAAUACCGCAUACGACCUACGGGUGAAAGCAGGGGAUCUUCGGACCUUGCGCGAUUGAAUGAGCCGAUGUCGGAUUAGCUAGUUGGCGGGGUAAAGGCCCACCAAGGCGACGAUCCGUAGCUGGUCUGAAAGGAUGAUCAGCCACACUGGAACUGAGACACGGUCCAGACUCCUACGGGAGGCAGCAGUGGGGAAUAUUGGACAAUGGGCGCAAGCCUGAUCCAGCCAUACCGCGUGGGUGAAGAAGGCCUUCGGGUUGUAAAGCCCUUUUGUUGGGAAAGAAAAGCAGCAGGUUAAUACCCCGCUGUUCUGACGGUACCCAAAGAAUAAGCACCGGCUAACUUCGUG